AACGAACGCUGGCGGCAGGCCUAACACAUGCAAGUCGAACGCCGUAGCAAUACGGAGUGGCAGACGGGUGAGUAACACGUGGGAACGUACCUUUCGGUUCGGAAUAACUCAGGGAAACUUGAGCUAAUACCGGAUACGUGCGAGAGCAGAAAGAUUUAUCGCCGAAAGAUCGGCCCGCGUCCGAUUAGCUUGUUGGUGAGGUAAUGGCUCACCAAGGCGACGAUCGGUAGCUGGUCUGAGAGGAUGAUCAGCCACACUGGGACUGAGACACGGCCCAGACUCCUACGGGAGGCAGCAGUGGGGAAUAUUGGACAAUGGGCGAAAGCCUGAUCCAGCCAUGCCGCGUGAGUGAUGAAGGCCUUAGGGUUGUAAAGCUCUUUGUCCGGGAAGAUAAUGACGGUACCGGAAGAAUAAGCCCCGGCUAACUUCGUGCCAGCAGCCGCGUAA
rnacentral:rRNA from 1 species